UACGUAGGGUGCAAGCGUUGUCCGGAAUUAUUGGGCGUAAAGAGCUCGUAGGCGGUCUGUCGCGUCUGCUGUGAAAAUCCAGGGCUCAACCCUGGACCUGCAGUGGGUACGGGCAGACUAGAGUGCGGUAGGGGAGAUCGGAAUUCCUGGUGUAGCGGUGAAAUGCGUAGAUAUCAGGAGGAACACCGGUGGCGAAGGCGGCUCUCUGGACGGUGACUGACGCUGAGACGCGAAAGCGUGGGGAGCAAACAGG
rnacentral:rRNA from 1 species